AAAACCUAUUACAACUUUCAGCAACGGAUCUCUUGGCUCUCGCAUCGAUGAAGGACGCAGCGAAUCGCGAUAAGUAAUGUGAAUUGCAGAUUUUCCGUGAAUCAUCGAAUCUUUGAACGCACCUUGCGCUCCUUGGUAUUCCGAGGAGCAUGCCUGUU
rnacentral:rRNA from 1 species